rnacentral:rRNA from 1 species
CCUGUGAGGCAUGCUGGAGGUAUCAGAAGUGCGAAUGCUGACAUAAGUAACGAUAAAGCGGGUGAAAAGCCCGCUCGCCGGAAGACCAAGGGUUCCUGUCCAACGUUAAUCGGGGCAGGGUGAGUCGACCCCUAAGGCGAGGCCGAAAGGCGUAGUCGAUGGGAAACGGGUUAAUAUUCCCGUACUUGGUGUUACUGCGAAGGGGGGACGGAGAAGGCUAUGUUGGCCGGGCGACGGUUGUCCCGGUUUAAGCGUGUAGGUGUGUGUUCCAGGUAAAUCCGGUUCACUUUAACACUGAGGCGUGACGACGAGGCACUACGGUGCUGAAGCAACAAAUGCCCUGCUUCCAGGAAAAGCCUCUAAGCAUCAGGUAACACGAAAUCGUACCCCAAACCGACACAGGUGGUCAGGUAGAGAAUACCAAGGCGCUUGAGAGAACUCGGGUGAAGGAACUAGGCAAAAUGGUGCCGUAACUUCGGGAGAAGGCACGCUGACACGUAGGUGAAGUGAUUUACUCAUGGAGCUGAAGUCAGUCGAAGAUACCAGCUGGCUGCAACUGUUUAUUAAAAACACAGCACUGUGCAAACACGAAAGUGGACGUAUACGGUGUGACGCCUGCCCGGUGCCGGAAGGUUAAUUGAUGGGGUCAGCGCAAGCGAAGCUCCUGAUCGAAGCCCCGGUAAACGGCGGCCGUAACUAUAACGGUCCUAAGGUAGCGAAAUUCCUUGUCGGGUAAGUUCCGACCUGCACGAAUGGCGUAAUGAUGGCCAGGCUGUCUCCACCCGAGACUCAGUGAAAUUGAACUCGCUGUGAAGAUGCAGUGUACCCGCGGCAAGACGGAAAGACCCCGUGAACCUUUACUAUAGCUUGACACUGAACAUUGAGCCUUGAUGUGUAGGAUAGGUGGGAGGCUUUGAAGUGUGGACGCCAGUCUGCAUGGAGCCGACCUUGAAAUACCACCCUUUAAUGUUUGAUGUUCUAACGUGGACCCGUAAUCCGGGUUGCGGACAGUGUCUGGUGGGUAGUUUGACUGGGGCGGUCUCCUCCUAAAGAGUAACGGAGGAGCACGAAGGUUGGCUAAUCCUGGUCGGACAUCAGGAGGUUAGUGCAAUGGCAUAAGCCAGCUUGACUGCGAGCGUGACGGCGCGAGCAGGUGCGAAAGCAGGUCAUAGUGAUCCGGUGGUUCUGAAUGGAAGGGCCAUCGCUCAACGGAUAAAAGGUACUCCGGGGAUAACAGGCUGAUACCGCCCAAGAGUUCAUAUCGACGGCGGUGUUUGGCACCUCGAUGUCGGCUCAUCACAUCCUGGGGCUGAAGUAGGUCCCAAGGGUAUGGCUGUUCGCCAUUUAAAGUGGUACGCGAGCUGGGUUUAGAACGUCGUGAGACAGUUCGGUCCCUAUCUGCCGUGGGCGCUGGAGAACUGAGGGGGGCUGCUCCUAGUACGAGAGGACCGGAGUGGACGCAUCACUGGUGUUCGGGUUGUCAUGCCAAUGGCACUGCCCGGUAGCUAAAUGCGGAAGAGAUAAGUGCUGAAAGCAUCUAAGCACGAAACUUGCCCCGAGAUGAGUUCUCCCUGAGACUUAGAGUCUCCUGAAGGAACGUUGAAGACGACGACGUUGAUAGGCCG